UACGAAGGGGGCUAGCGUUGCUCGGAAUCACUGGGCGUAAAGGGUGCGUAGGCGGGUCUUUUAAGUCAGGGGUGAAAUCCUGGAGCUCAACUCCAGAACUGCCUUUGAUACUGGCGAUCUCGAGUUCGGGAGAGGUGAGUGGAACUGCGAGUGUAGAGGUGAAAUUCGUAGAUAUUCGCAAGAACACCAGUGGCGAAGGCGGCUCACUGGCCCGAUACUGACGCUGAGGUGCGAAAGCGUGGGGAGCAAACAGGG
rnacentral:rRNA from 1 species